GUAAUACUCCAUAGUUCGUUAUUACUGGAAUGUUUUUCGAACGAAAGAUCCGUCGCUUCAGGAUGAGUCUGCGGCCGAUUAGGUAGUUGUUGGGGUAAUUGCCCAACAAGCCUGUAAUCGGUACGGGUUGUGGGAGCAAGAGCCCGGAGAUGGAUUCUGAGACACGAAUCCAGGCCCUACGGGGCGCAGCAGGCGCGAAAACUUUACCAUGCGGGCAACCGUGAUAAGGAAACCCCGAGUGCCAGCACAGGCUGGCUGUCCGCCAGUUUAAACAACUGGCGAAGAAAGGGCCGGGCAAGACCGGUGCCAGCCGCCGCGGUAAUACCGGCGGCUCGAGUGGUGGCCGCUAUUACUGGGCUUAAAGGGUCCGUAGCUUGAUAAUAGGGUCCCUUGAGAAAUCCGCCGGCUUAACUGGCGGGCGUUCAGGGGAAACUUGUUUUCUAGGGACCGGGAGAGGUGAGGGGUACUGCCGGGGUAGGAGUGAAAUCCUGUAAUCCCGGUGGGACCACCUAUGGCGAAGGCAUCUCACCAGAACGGGUCCGACAGUGAGGGACGAAAGCUGGGGGAGCAAACCGGAUUAGAUACCCGGGUAGUCCCAGCUGUAACUAUGUGCGUUAGUGU
rnacentral:rRNA from 1 species